UGAAGGGGGAAGUAAUGGGCUACAUUUUCUAUACUAGAGCAUAACGAAUUGUCAACUGAAAUAAAGACAUGAAGGAGGAUUUAGUAGUAAAUUAAGAAUAGAGAGCUUAAUUGAAAUAGGCAAUAGGGUGCGUACACACCGCCCGUCACCCUCCUCAAUAAAGUAACUUUUAAUACCUAAUUACAAUACACCAAAAAGAGGAGAAAAGUCGUAACAUGGUAAGUGUACUGGAAAGUGUACUUGGACAACCAAAAUG
rnacentral:ncRNA from 1 species